rnacentral:rRNA from 1 species
AUGCCCCCUGCUACGUCCGCUCCCGAUGCCCCGGUGGCCGAAGGGGACGAGGAGGCGCCGCCGGUGCCGACUUACCGGUCACUGGCAGCGCCGGUCAGCAAUCCGGUCGACAAGUUCGCGCUCCUCCCUGCCUUCCUCAAGGUUAGAGGCCUUGUGAAGGAGCACAUUGACUCUUUUAACUACUUCAUCACCAAAGGAAUCAAGAAUAUUGUCAGGGCAAACAACCGAAUCGAAGCACGCAGUGAUCCAGAUAUUUAUCUUGAGUACAAAAAUAUAUACAUCGGCGAGCCCUCGGUGCAAGUAGAUUUUAGAGUUGAGACUAUCACACCACACUUUUGCCGCCUUACUGAUCGCACAUAUUCUGCUCCUGUGAUUGUUGAUGUUGAGUACACUGUAGGAAAGACACAUGCCAAACAUAGGAAGCCAAAUUUUACCAUUGGGUACAUGCCUAUUAUGCUUAGAAGUUAUGCUUGUGUUCUGAACGGGAAGGACGAAGCUGAACUAGCAAGAUAUGGUGAGUGCCCUCUUGAUCCUGGUGGUUACUUCAUUGUGAAAGGAACCGAGAAGGUCAUCCUAAUACAAGAACAGCUAUCAAAGAAUCGUAUUAUUAUCGACACUGAUAAUAAAGGAAGGGUAACUGCAUCUGUUACUAGCAGCACACAUGAAGUAAAAAGCAAGACAGUGAUUUGCAUGGACAAAGAGAAAAUUAAUCUACAUCUGAAUCAGUUCACUAAGCCGAUUCCUAUAAUUGUGGUUAUGAAAGCUAUGGGAAUUGAAACUGACCAAGAGGUUGUACAAAUGGUUGGAAGAGAUCCAAGAUAUGGUGACCUCCUAUAUUUGUCUAUUCAGGAAUGUGCCACAGAGAGAAUAUAUACACAACAGCAAGCUUUGCAGUACAUGGAUGACAAGGUGACAUAUGCUGGUGCAGGAAAUAUUAAGGACGGUCGGUCAAAAUUAAUCCUCCGUGAUGUUUUUGUUGCGCAUGUACCGGUUAACAAUGGGAACUUUCAACCAAAGUGCAUAUACACUGCUGUAAUGUUAAGGCGAAUGUUGGAUGCGAUCUUGAAUUCUGAUACCUUCGAUGACAAGGAUUAUGUGGGAAACAAGAGGCUUGAGCUGUCUGGUCAAUUAGUAUCCCUGCUUUUUGAGGAUUUGUUCAAAACGAUGAAUACCUAUGCUGUAGACCGUAUGAACAAAAACAGUGACAUGGCCCGUUCCAGUCCUUUGGAUUUUAGCCAGUUGAUAAUGCAGCAGGAUGUAAUAACCUCUGGUUUGGAGAGAGCUAUUUCCACGGGAAAUUGGGACAUUAAACGAUUUAAGAUGCAUAGAAAGGGUGUUUCACAGGUUCUGUCUAGGUUAUCCUAUAUGGCGUCUUUAGGCUAUAUGACACGCAUAACACCACAGUUUGAGAAGACCCGGAAAACAAGUGGUCCACGUGCUUUGCAGCCCAGUCAGUGGGGUAUGCUUUGUCCUUGUGAUACACCGGAAGGGGAAGCUUGUGGAUUGACGAAAAAUCUAGCUUUAAUGACUCAUGUUACAACAGAUCAAGAGGAGGGCCCACUGAGGAAUCUGUGUUUUAGCCUAGGUGUGGAAGAUUUGUCACUUCUGUCCGGAGAAGAAAUCCAUGCACCGGGUUCGUUUCUGGUCAUGUUCAAUGGAUUAAUACUAGGGAAGCACAGGCAGCCUCAGAGAUUUGCUAAUAAUAUGAGAACAUUCCGCCGAUCAGGCAAAAUUGGAGAGUUUGUAAGCGUUUUUGUAAAUGAGAAACAGCAUUGCAUUCAUAUUGCCUCUGAUGGUGGCCGCGUUUGUCGUCCACUUAUAAUUGCUGACAAGGGCAGAUCAAGGGUUAAAGAGCAUCAUAUGAAAGAACUGAGGGAUGGUAUUCGUUCAUUUGAUGAUUUUCUGCGUGAUGGAUUGAUUGAAUAUCUUGACGUCAAUGAAGAGAAUAAUGCAUUGAUUGCGUUGUAUGAGCAUGUGGAUCAAGAUGGUGUUCAAAGAAGCAGCAUCACUCACAUUGAAAUAGAGCCAAUGACCAUAUUAGGUGUUGUAGCUGGACUUAUUCCAUAUCCGCACCAUAACCAAUCUCCACGUAACACUUAUCAGUGUGCAAUGGGUAAGCAAGCGAUGGGAAAUAUUGCAUAUAAUCAGUUGUUUCGAGCAGAUUCUCUACUUUAUUUACUGGUGUACGCGCAACGUCCCCUGCUUACAACAAAAACAAUUGAGUUGGUGGGAUACGAUAAACUUGGCGCUGGGCAGAAUGCAACUGUUGCUGUAAUGAGUUAUAGCGGAUAUGAUAUUGAAGAUGCAAUUGUGAUGAACAAAUCAUCUCUUGAUCGUGGUUUUGGUCGUUGCAUAGCAAUGAAAAAGUACACCGUAACAUCGGAGAAAUAUGGAGAUGGUAUAUCAGACAGGAUUGCUAAACCCCAGAGAGAUAGAGAUGGUGUCUUGAUAAAGCAGAAUAUGCGGGCAUUGGAUGAAGAUGGAUUUGUUGCACCUGGUCAAAUAAUCCGCAAUCAUGAUAUCUAUGUGAACAAGCAAACACCCAAGGUUACCAAUAGAACUCCUGGUACUGCGUUAACAGACAGGGACUAUAGGGACUCACCUGCUGUUUACAAAGGUGUCGAUGGUGAGACUACCGUUGUAGAUCGUGUAAUGCUUUGUUCGGAUACAAAUGACAAAUUGACCAUUAAGUGUAUUAUCCGUCACACUAGGAGGCCGGAGGUUGGUGACAAGUUUAGUAGCAGACAUGGACAAAAAGGUGUUUGUGGCACCAUUGUUCAGCAGGAAGACUUCCCCUUCUCUGAGAAAGGAAUAUGCCCUGAUUUAAUUAUGAAUCCCCAUGGAUUUCCAAGUCGUAUGACAAUUGGUAAAAUGAUUGAACUUCUUGGGGGAAAGGCUGGUGUUUCUUGUGGCCGAUUUCAUUAUGGCAGUAUAUUUGGUGAACCAAGUGGUAAUGCUGAUAAAGUUGAAGACAUAAGCCAUACGCUUGUCAAGCACGGGUUCAGCUAUAGUGGAAAAGAUUUCUUGUACUCAGGCAUUUUAGGCCAUCCUCUUCAGGCAUAUGUCUUCAUGGGGCCAAUCUAUUACCAGAAACUGAAGCACAUGGUUCUUGAUAAGAUGCAUGCUCGGGCUAGUGGACCACGAGUACUACUGACCAGGCAACCUACUGAAGGGCGAAGUCGUGAUGGAGGUCUGCGUCUUGGUGAGAUGGAGCGUGAUUGUUUAAUUGCAUACGGUGCCAGCAUGCUAAUCUUUGAACGUCUCCUACUAUCCAGUGAUCCAUAUCAAGUCCAGGUUUGCAGGAAAUGCGGUCUGUUAGGCUACUACAAUUACAAGCUGAAGACUUCCUUCUGCUCGAUGUGCAAAAACGGAGAAAACAUGGCCAAGAUGAGGAUGCCGUACGCUUGCAAGCUUUUGUUUCAGGAGCUGCAAUCGAUGAACGUUGUCCCACGCUUGACGCUGACAGAAGGAUAA